UCUUGUCGCAGCGGGAGACACGGGCUUUUCCCGCGCGCCUCCGGGGCCGGUGGGCCGCUAAUUCUCUGCACCUUUUGGCUUCAAAGUUCAAGCGUCUUCCCUGCCCAAACCGGCACCUCUUCCCGCUUCUGCUGUUGCUGCUGCUGCUGCCCCAAUGCUGCCGAGGUGGCUCUCUGGCGGCCCGGUCAACUAUGUGCGAAAAUAAGGGAGGGUAGGGCUGUUCUCCUCAGGUUAUCUGAGCCCGCAAGCAAAAAAAAAACCUGAUGAAGUUGAAACAAUUCUCCUUGAUUUGUAUAAAGCCCUCCUAGAAGAGUGACCCCGGAUUGCAAGCCAGGAUCCUUGGCAAUGAUGAACUUCUGACAUCACGCGCAGGCUUGAAAGGUGGACCCGCAUUCUCCUUUGUGACAUCGCUCACCAGUCCGCUAGGGGCGUGCCGCGGGUUCCAAGUGGUGGCAAAGUCUUGGCAGAAUCUCUGAAGAUUACUUUGGAUGUUAAUGAAGAAAAGAGAAACAGCAACAGGGAAAAAAAGAAAAGAAAAACAUCAAGGAAAUUGAGACCAUACUCCGAAAGAAACAGAGGGAGUUUGAAGAGGUGAUUAUCCGGAAACACGAGAGGAGACAUGUCAGGCAUAAGGAACCAGAAUGACAUCAUGAGAUGAUCAAGCUUAUAUAUUUAUUGCUGCAUGCCUAUUUACAAGAAUCUACACAAAUUGACUGCAUUUUCUUCGGAAUGGCCAGAUAAUGGUUUCAGAGAUUCUGGGGGAGGUAAGAUCUCUGUUGCUUCACAUCUUCUCCCACUGUAACUGGAGAUUCCAUCACAGAACAAGAGAAUUUGGAAUUUUCAGCAUACUCAAGUCACACCACAGAUGGGCUGAAUGUGAAGGAUGCUCAGACUUAGACUGAAAGCACAAGGACUUGGCAAAGGAAUGGAACAAGAAUGAGGCAAAAAUGUGUCUGUGGAGGAGAUGCUGCAAAGUCAAGCUUCAAAAAACUCUGCUCCUGUAGAGGAAGAAAUAAAGACAAUUUCAGUGCUGCAAAUGACUUGGGUUUUGUGCUGACAUUCCAAUACUCCCACUCCUAUAUUCUUCCCAUUACAAACUUUGCAAGAUGGAUACAAAUAGGCAUCCAGGGUGCAAACAAUCCAGAUAUAUAAGAGUUGGAUAAAAACAGUCUCUCCAACCUCUAUGACUUUGGUCAUAAGAAGGAUAUUUUAAUAAUGAAACAAGAAAAGGGUAUCACAAAAAUUCCUAUUUUGUCUCUUCAACCAGGUUCUGACAAUCCUUUCUACCUCUUCAGGCAAAUACCCACAGAGAUAUUGCUUCAAUCAGGGAAAAGGUGGGAGUUCCAGUAAAAGGGAAUAUCUGUAGCUCAGGGUUAAAUUGUAAAGUCCUUGGUGUUCUCUGACCUUGAUGUAUAUAAUGAGAGCUGCAUAAGGUGGAAGUUGCCUGGCUCAAAGUCUGGACUAAAUGACAGAGAAAUUAAGACUGUAAGAUCCAAUUUUGCAGUGAUUUCUUGAGGGCUGAGAUGAAAUCUAUCAUUGUCAUGUGACAGCAAAAUUUCUUUCCUGUUUCCAAAUGUUUCUUAAUUGUUUUUUCUAAGUUUUGGAUGUUGCCUGUAA